rnacentral:rRNA from 1 species
GCUUGUCUCAAAGAUUAAGCCAUGCAUGUCUAAGUAUAAACAAAUCUAUACUGUGAAACUGCGAAUGGCUCAUUAUAUCAGUUAUAGUUUCUUUGAUGGUUCUUACUACUUGGAUAACCGUAGUAAUUCUAGAGCUAAUACAUGCAUGAACCCCCGACUUUUGAAGGGGUGUAUUUAUUAGAUUGAAACCAACGCUGGGUAAAACCAGUUUCCCUUGGUGAUUCAUAAUAAUUAAGCGGAUCGCAUGGCCUUGUGCUAGCGACAGUCCACUCGAUUUUCUGCCCUAUCAUGGUUGAGAUUGUAAGAUAGAGGCUUACAAUGCCUACAACGGGUAACGGGGAAUUAGGGUUCGAUUCCGGAGAGGGAGCCUGAGAAACGGCUACCACAUCCAAGGAAGGCAGCAGG